ACCUCUCCUGUUAAUCUGUUAACAUCCUACCCAGAACAGUCAGCCUUCCUCAGGGUCUUGGUGACUGGAGUCUGGGAUUUCUGCUGGGCUUCACAGGUCACCUCUCCUGCCUUGGUCCACUCCAGGCCAGUGAGAGUCAGGGUGCUGCUCCAGCUGUACAGGCCAUCCUUCUCCAGGACCCCGGGACUGGUCUUCUGGUUGUUGCUGGUCCCGUCCACUUUCCAGCUCAAGGUCCAGUCUGAGGGGAAGCCCUUGUUGGCCAGACACGUCAGUGUGGCUGUUGUUGUACUGGACAGCUCCUCACUAGAGGGGGGCAGGACGGUGAGGGUGGGGGCACUGUUACCUGUAAACAAACAGAACACAUCAACUAAGUAACUACAUCAAGUACAACAACACUAAGAGAUCAUCUCCAUUAAGGUCCACAACCAAAUAAAGGUAAUUGGAAAUGCCAUCUAAAUAUGAAUGUAGAAGUUGGAUUGUUGAAAAGAUUUGGAAAAAACACAAAAGUAAUUGAUACAAAGCAGAUUUAUGAACCAAACAAGUAUAAAGUGGUAAAAUAACUAGAGUUACUAGUCAUAUGGUGUCAGUUAUACAUGUUAUACAGAUAUUGUUUAGGAAUGGAUCUGAUCAGAACAACCUACUUAUAUUCUUUGUCUUUGUCUUCACACUAACAGUGAAGUCUACCAUCAAUACAACGCAACAAUGAUGAAUACUAUAUACAAUACUAUUCGUUUUUAUACCACAAUUAGGUGUAAUAUUAUGCAAUUUUACAAAUCAGACAUUCAAAUAAACCUACAAUUUAUCAUUUUGAGUCAAUAAAUAUUUAUUUGAAAGAAGGCUCAUUCAAAAUCUACAUUUAACCAAAAAUAUUUGAGUUAAAGAUAAUAAAAAUAUAAAUAAAGAAUGGCACACAAACAGUAAUACACAAUGCAACAACCAUAUUCCAUAUUAUUAAAUAGUUAUCAUACUGGAACUCUCCUCUGCAAUCCAUCAAACCACACAUUUAAAUAAACACCUACAUUUGAACAUGUUAUUUAAAUAACAUUUCAUUUGAAAGAAGGCUUUGUCAAAAGUAAUACAAAAAAUAUAUUUUUUUAGGAAGGAAAAUAUGAAAAAUCGCAAUAUAUUCAUAUAGACGAAGUUUCACAGAGUAAAAUACCCCCAAAAAGAAUCAGAAAGAAAUAUCAAAGAGCGUGUUACUUACUUCCAACAUCUAGUCUGGUGCCGCUACCAAAAGUGUACCACAGUGAUACAAUCCCUAUUACUGCUGGUACAACAACCUCCUGCAUGUUUGGCACUCUUCAUUUCAUUAGACUGUGGUUCAAAUAAUUAACUCUACUAUAGUAUGAAUACAUUUCAGAAAUGAAUUAUUCUACUCAAUUAGAAAUAAAGUGUUUUUCAUGUUGAUUUCCUUAACAUGGACCAAACCUGACUUUUUCUUGUACAUCUCCUACUACUGUAGGUGCAGCAUGUUUAUUCAUACAACUAAUCUCAAAUGUAGGCUAAUCACUUUCAUAGUUUAAAGGCAGGUCAGAUUUGAUUAGAUGUAAUAACAUUCAUAUUCAAAUUGGCCAUAGUAUGUGUAGGCCUUGUGCAUUUUGUUUAGAUCAUCUAAAAAAGUCAAUUUGAAAAAUCCUCAAUAUCAAGGCAAAAUGUAUAGAGAAAUUGAAACACGACAUCAAAAGUUGAAUAAAUAGUUUGGAAUAAAUAAUUUGUUCUUUACUUACUUCCAACAUCAAGUCUGGUACCGCUACCAAAAGUCCUCCACAGUGAUACAAUCACUAUUACUGCUGGUACAAAAACCUCUCUGUGUUGUGAUGCUGCAGCUGUUACAGUGAAGAUCACUCAUACAGAAUCAUAAUCAACACUAAUACACUUUAACAUCUUCCAGGUAGAACAAACACUUCAUAUAAGCUGUUUCUAGAUAAUACAAAUAUGAAUUGUAUCUUAAAUCCAGAUAGUAGUAUUUUUCCUUCCUCUGUGUAUCAGGUUCUCCUAGUCUGGAGGUACAGUCCAGCAUUAGAUCAGUGUUGCUAGUAUUCCUCCAUAUUGUCCAUAUGAAAGACAACAGCAGCAGCAGUAGUGAUAGUGAUCCAUGUUGUAUAUUCCUUUAUUAAACAUGUUGAUCUCAGAUUUAACAGUGGUGGUAAAGUCACACAGGACAGAUAACACUACCAGAGGAAUCCCACCAGCUUUAGUUUAGAGAAGUGUUCACUAACUGAUUAGAGGAACUUACAUGAGAGACCGAGCAUGAGUGAACAGACAGUUCAUUAUAUCUGAUCAUCACCAGAAUAAUAAUAUAAUGGUGGUGUGACAUAAAAGUUACCAUACAUUAGUUAUCAGAUAAAACAGUUGCUGUUUGAUGUUGUAAAAGGGGCAGCAGGUAGCUAGCGGUUAGAGUGUUGCGCUAGUAACUGAAAGGUUGCUCGUUCAAAUCCCCAGGCCGACACGGUGAAACAUCUGUCGAUGUUCCCUUUAGCAAGGCACUUAACCCUAAUUGCUCCAGGGUCGCAGUUGAUAAUGGCAGAUCUGGGCUGUGACCCCACUCUCUGAGGCUGUCUCAGGGGGAGUUGGGAUAUAAAAACAUAAACAUUUUUCAUUUACACAUGCGUGAAAUAGGACAAAUAUAAGCACCGCCUAGUUAUUCUAAAAGAAAGCUCAUGCGGGACAAAAUACAGUGCCUUGCGAAAGUAUUCGGCCCCCUUGAACUUUGCGACCUUUUGCCACAUUUCAGGAUUCAAACAUAAAGAUAUAAAACUGUAUUUUUUUGUGAAGAAUCAACAACAAGUGGGACACAAUCAUGAAGUGGAACGACAUUUAUUGGAUAUUUCAAACUUUUUUAACAAAUCAAAAACUGAAAAAUUGGGCGUGCAAAAUUAUUCAGCCCCUUUACUUUCAGUGCAGCAAACUCUCUCCAGAAGUUCAGUGAGGAUCUCUGAAUGAUCCAAUGUUGACCUAAAUGACUAAUGAUGAUAAAUACAAUCCACCUGUAUGUAAUCAAGUCUCCGUAUAAAUGCACCUGCACUGUGAUAGUCUCAGAGGUCCG
rnacentral:lncRNA from 13 species